rnacentral:lncRNA from 10 species
GCAAAACCGUGCGCCCCGGCACGCACAGCCCCGCGGCCCCCGACCCCCCACGCCCCUAACCCUAACGGGGAUCCCAGUCCUAGGGACACCGGGCGCGUGCGCGACCCCAAUCAGUUAUUUAUGGGCGAAUUAAUUAUGUAGCUGCCAUGGGCGGGGGGGCCGGCAGGGGCCAUGCGACGCGGAGACCACCCGGCCGCGGUGGCGGCUCUCCUGCCGGGCCUCGGGGUCGGGAGGCGUCCCCACGCCGCCCGGGGAGGAUCCCGUUGUGAGAAAGCUGCCUCGGGGUGGGGUCCGGGAGGAGCGCGGGGGAACCUGAGGAAGCGGGAGAGACGGCUCGGAGACCUCCCAAUUAGACUGGGAGGGGAGAGGGGGGCGGGCGACGGAGCUGGAAAGAGCGGGCCGCGGAGACCGGGGCGUGGGAAGAGCCUGGCCUAGGCAUUUCUUCCCUUCCUUCCUUCCUUCAUCCCCAUCCUUACUGCGAGCCCACUACGUGCCACUGCGCCCACAGCAGAGGGCGGUAUUAGGGAGGGGUUAGGAGCAGGAAGGAAUUUCGAGGUACAGCUGGGUCCAAAUCCGGAUUUGUAUCCUAUACUCCCCUGCUGUGUGGCCUUAGGCAACGGCUUGCCCUCUCGGAGCCUCCACUUCCUCAUCUGCCAGUGGUCUUCAGGACUUGGGAGAUGGGGCGCUUGGGCAGAGAGUUUGUGGGGGCGCGGUCGAAGGGAGGUCCUGUCCUUGGGAAACUUUACAUAGAGGGGAACAUGCCCAGUCCCCCAGUAUUCCCCAUCUCGAAGCCCCGACUUUGGGUCUCAUAUAAUCUGCCUCUCCCCGGGGCCCACACAUUUGAAGGUCGUUAUUAAAACCACACCACCCCCAAGGCCACUGCUCAGGACGCUCACCCCUAGCUGGCUUCUCACCAGCCUGGCCCUGCAGAAGGUCGUGCAUAUGGCAGCCAGAGGGGCUCAAUCUAGUCCUUUUACUCCCCACCUCCGCUGCCUCCCCCGACUCUGCCCUUCACAUCCCCACCUGGGUUCUCCUUCCAACCUGCUUCUAGUCUGGGCUAGGGAGAUUGGAGCCCUGAGGCCAUGGGGGCUACGGGGCAGUGAGAACAGGGGUGGGGGCUCAGCUGGCCCUCCCUGGACAAGUGUCCCCCUUAUCUGGAGUGUCAAGGCGUUCUACUUCCAAGACUCAGAAGUGAAGGAGGCUUCCGUUUGCGACCCAGGAUUGCCUAGGGGUUUGCCUGUCUUCUUUCACCAAAACUUGCAAUAACUCUGUUAGGUGAAUGGGGCAGAUCCAGGUUUUAUGGGGCCUGAAGGUUUUACAAUCCUGGGGACCCACUUGAAGAAGAAUAGUGCAAAGUUAUGAAUAGGCGGUUAAGCUCAGGGCCUUGGUAAAUGACAGUCCCAGGAGCUAAAGCUUCAUUAGCCCCUCGGUAACUCACCUCUGUAGAUGGACAACACAACUGUCAUCCCUUUGCAGAGGUGGAAACAAAGCUUAGGCUGGCCCAAGGUCACAACAGGUAGAAAGGACAAGCUGGGAUCAAACCCAGGUCCCACCCCACAGGCAGCACCCUGAACUAACUGCCUCAGUAGGAAUGCCACCUUCCAUAUCAUCUACCCCAUGCCACAUCUCACCUGUCCCCACCAGUGCCCAGCCCAGGCAGGGUCAGUCAGAACAGCCUUUGCUUCCAGAACAGUCUGUGUCCCUCCCUCCAGAGGCCUCCAUGUCCCAAGGCUCAAGCCUCAGAGAUACUGUCUUGUGACAACACUCACAGAUCUAGUAAGUAGGUCUCUUCUAAACUUUUGAUUCCAGCAAUGGUAACCUGCUCACUCCAGAACUCCAGCUCCCCCGUCCACCUGGAGGGAGCGCACCCCUGUUCCCCGGUGGGCUCCCUGGUGUUCGGGGCUGGAUCUGUUUUAUUUGGCUCAGUAUUCCCC